UCCGUUUACUGAGGAUUGACAGAUUGAGAGCUCUUUCUUGAUUCGGUGGAUGGUGGUGCAUGGCCGUUCUUAGUUGGUGGAGCGAUUUGUCUGGUUAAUUCCGAUAACGAACGAGACUCUAGCCUAUUAAAUAGGUGCGGGGUUCCCAGCACCUUACAACCUUCUUAGAGGGACAAGCGGCUCCUAGCCGCACGAAACAGAGCAAUAACAGGUCUGUGAUGCCCUUAGAUGU
rnacentral:rRNA from 1 species